rnacentral:rRNA from 1 species
UACCAGCUCUCCGAGUGGUGUGGAUGAUUACUGGGCCUGAAGCAUCCGUAGCCGGCUGGGCAAGUCCCCCGUUAAACCCAACGAAUCAAUCGUUGGCUCGCAGGGGAUACUGCUCGGCUUGGGGGCGAGAGAGGCCGCCGGUAUUCUCGGGGUAGGGGUAAAAUCCUAUAAUGCCGGGAGGACCACCAGUGGCGAAGGCUGUCGGCUAGAACGCGCCCGACGGUGAGGGAGGAAAGCUGGGGGAGCGAACCGGAUUAGAUACCCGGGUAGUCCCAGCUGUAAACGAUGCAGGCUAGGUGUUAGGACGGCCACGUGCCGCUCUAGUGCCGCAGGGAAGCUGUUAAGCCUGCCGCCUGGGGAGUACGGUCGCAAGACUGAAACUUAAAGGAAUUGGCGGGGGAGCACCACAAGGGGUGAAGCUUGCGGUUUAAUUGGAGUCAACGCCGGAAAUCUCACCGGGGGCGACAGCAGGAUGAAAGCCAGAUUAAAGGUCUUGCCAGACAAGCUGAGAGGAGGUGCAUGGCCGUCGCCAGUUCGUGCCGUGAGGUGUCCUGUUAAGUCGGGCAACGAUCGAGACCCGCAUUCCCCGUUGCGAUUAGCCUUGAGCUAAGCACACUGGGAAGACCGCCGUCGACAAGACGGAGGAAGGAGCGGGCCACGGCAGGUCAGUAUGCCCCGAAUCUCCCGGGCCACACGCGAGCUGCAAUGGCAGGCACAAUGGGUUCCGACCUCGAAAGGGGGAGGCAAUCUCGAAAACCUGCCGUAGUUGGAAUCGAGGGUUGAAACUCACCCUCGUGAACAUGGAAUCCCUAGUAAUCGCGCGUCACUAGCGUGCGGUGAAUACGUCCCUGCUCCU